rnacentral:tmRNA from 1 species
GGGGUUGCAAUGGUUUCGACAGUGUUGAUGACUUCGUGGAAGCGGGUAGUGGACCCCGUUGGCCACUUUAAAAAACGGGAAACGCAAGUAAUUGCAAAUAAUAAUUACGCUUACGCGGCUUAAUUAAGCCUCGUCAUCCCCCACGGUCGUCUAUUGCCGCGGAUCCGGAUGUCAGAAGAUAGAUCUUGCCGCUAGUUGGUUAAAGCGGAGAACGAAUCAGACUAAGCUUUGCAGCUGAUUUGUAUUGAUGAAGCUACUGGAUCAGAAGCCGGCCGUCCGGCUCGCUGUGAGAGGAAUACUCGAAGAGACGGCUGCACCCGGAGAAACUGUGAACGACUUUACAUUGGACAGGGGUUCGAUUCCCCUCAGCUCCACCA